GAUGAACGCUAGCGGCAGGCUUAAUACAUGCAAGUCGUGGGGCAGCAGGACUGUAGCAAUCCAGUUGCUGGCGACCGGCACACGGGUGCGGUACACGUACGCAACUUACCCUUCACUUGGGGAUAGCCCGGGGAAACCCGGAUUAAUACCCCGUAAUAUACUGGAGUGGCAUCACUUUAUUAUUAAAGCUCCGGCGGUUCGGGAUGGGCGUGCGGCUGAUUAGGUAGUUGGUUGAGGUAACGGCUCACCAAGCCUACGAUCAGUAACUGGUGUGAGAGCACGACCAGCUAGAAGUGAAACGAGACACAGGCUCGAAUGCGACGGAAGGGAGGAGUAAGGAAUAAUGGGGAAUGGAGGCAAAUCGGACCCAGCCAUGCCGGGGGGAGGAGGAAGGCGGUCUGAGUUGUAAACUUCUGGUAAAGGAGAGGAAACCUGUGUAUUCUUACGCAGUUGACGGUACCCUAGGAAUAAGCACCGGCUAACUCCGUG
rnacentral:rRNA from 1 species